rnacentral:rRNA from 1 species
UACGUAGGUGGCAAGCGUUGUCCGGAUUUACUGGGUGUAAAGGGCGUGUAGCCGGGCUGACAAGUCAGAUGUGAAAUCCGGGGUCUCAACCCCCGAACUGCAUUUGAAACUGUUGGUCUUGAGUAUCGGAGAGGCAGGCGGAAUUCCUAGUGUAGCGGUGAAAUGCGUAGAUAUUAGGAGGAACACCAGUGGCGAAGGCGGCCUGCUGGACGACAACUGACGGUGAGGCGCGAAAGCGUGGGGAGCAAACAGG